GGGGAAUUGUUCACAAUGGGCGCAAGCCUGAUGACGCAAUGCCGCGUGGAGGAUGAAGGUCUUCGGAUUGUAAACUCCUGUUGCCAGGGACGAAUGGCUCCGACCUAAUACGUCGGAGAAUGACGGUACCUGGUGAGGAAGCCCCGGCUAACUCUGUGCCAGCAGCCGCGGUAAUACAGAGGGGGCAAGCGUUGUUCGGAAUUACUGGGCGUAAAGGGCUCGUAGGCGGCCAACUAAGUCAUACGUGAAAUCCCUCAGCUUAACUGGGGAACUGCGUGUGAUACUGGAUGGCUUGGAUUUGGGAGAGGGAUGCGGAAUUCCAGGUGUAGCGGUGAAAUGCGUAGAUAUCUGGAGGAACACCGGUGGCGAAGGCGGCAUCCUGGACCAAUAUUGACGCUGAGGAGCGAAAGCCAGGGGAGCAAA
rnacentral:rRNA from 1 species